rfam:Anopheles culicifacies strain species A-37_1 cont1.16474, whole genome shotgun sequence.
CGAUCGGCUCUUUUCAGAGCCACCGAAUAUUUAAAAAAAGAUAUUU